rnacentral:lncRNA from 1 species
GUCUACAAGUUUGUGUCCUAUCCUGAGGUCGCAGGGUGCUCCACUGAGUGAGGACUGCCCGCCCCACCCAGAGGUGUCGGUUACUUCACCAUGGCAGUUGUGGCCCCUGCUGCUGCACAUGCCGCCCCAGGGGGCACUGCCUCAGGAAAGCCAGGCACACCCAAGGGUGCAGGAAUGGCAGGCCCUGGCGGUUUGGCGCGCAACAGCCGGAACAAGUACAUGCGCUCGGGCCUCUGUUCCACCUUCACCAUCCAGUCUCUGCAGCCGCAGCCACCCCCUCAGCCUCGGCCUGCAGCGGUGCUCCCCAACGCAGCUCCUGCAGUCCAAGCCCCUGGGAGGCCUGCCUGGAGGCUGAGGAAGCCGGCUUCCCUCUGCAGGUCAUCCUGACCCCGCCCGAGGCCCCAAACCCGAAACUGGAAGAGCCGAAUGUGGAGCCGGGCUUGCGCCGCCCUUUGCCCCCGGAAGUGGAAGUGGAAGGGCCCGAGGAAGAGCUGGAAUUCGCGGGGGAGAGAGGGUUCGUGCCAGAAACCGCCAAGGCCGAGCCUGAAGUCCCUCCACAGGAGGGCGUGCCAGCGUGGCUGCCGAGGUCCUUAUGGACACCGCAGGGCAGGCGGGCGGCCACGCGGCUUCCAGCCCUCAGAUCUCCCAGCCGCAGAAGGGCCGGAAGCCCCGGGACCUAGAGCUUCCACUCAGCCCGAGCCUGCUAGGUGCGCCGGGACCCGAACGGACCCCAGGAUCGGGAACUGGCUCCGGCCUCCAGGCGCCGAGGCCGGCGCUGACCCUGUCCCUGCUUCCUACGCACACGUUGACCCCGGCGCUGCUGACACCCAGCUCGCUGCCUCCCAGCGUUCACUUCCGGAGCAGCCUGAGUCCCGCUGCGCCCCGCAGCCCGGCCAAGCUCUCCUGCCAGCUUCCGUCCAGUGGCGGCGCCCAGGUGCACAUCCCUUCCAUCGGCGUGGCUGGCCUCUCGACCCCCGCGGUGCUCUCGCCAGGGCCGCAGAGGCCAU